UACGGAGGAUGCGAGCGUUAUCCGGAUUUAUUGGGUUUAAAGGGUGCGCAGGCGGUAUGGCAAGUCAGAUGUGAAAACCCAGGGCUCAACCCUGGGACUGCAUUUGAGACUGCCAUACUGGAGUGCCGGAGAGGUAAGUGGAAUUCCUAGUGUAGCGGUGAAAUGCGUAGAUAUUAGGAGGAACACCAGUGGCGAAGGCGGCCUGCUGGACGAUGACUGACGUUGAGGCUCGAAAGCGUGGGGAGCAAACAGG
rnacentral:rRNA from 1 species